rnacentral:tRNA from 1 species
GGGCCUGUAGUUUAGCUUGGUUAGAGCAUGAAGCAUCUACGAUGCUUCUGUCGGCUGAAAUUCCGGCUUCGGGAGCCGGUGGCAGGAGUUCAAAUCUCCUCGGGCCCA